UACGUAGGGGGGCAAGCGUUGUCCGGAAUCAUUGGGCGUAAAGAGCGUGUAGGCGGCCCGGUAAGUCCGCUGUGAAAGUCCAGGGCUCAACCCUGGGAUGCCGGUGGAUACUGUCGGGCUCGAGUCCGGAAGAGGAGUGUGGAAUUCCUGGUGUAGCGGUGAAAUGCGCAGAUAUCAGGAGGAACACCAAUGGCGAAGGCAGCACUCUGGGGACGUGACUGACGCUGAGACGCGAAAGCGUGGGGAGC
rnacentral:rRNA from 1 species